UGUGAUACAACUCUGUGUCUGUGCAUGUCUUCUGUGCUUCUGUCCUGCAGUACUGGACGUGUUUCCAGAGGUAUGUUUCUGUGAGGGCAGGAGAAUAAACUGUAACAAAAAGGGUCUACUCAGCAUCCCAGCUGUGUCUUCCAAUAUAACAGCUCUUGAGCUGAACAGCAACCAGAUAACUGCUCUCCAACCAGACCAAUUCAUCCACUACAAACACCUUGAGAGACUACACCUGGAAGACAACAGGAUCAAAAGCAUCUCCAAGCAGGCAUUCUCAGGACUCUACUCACUAAGAAGACUGUAUGUCCUAAUUCAUUAUGGGCCACCACUGUCUGACCUGUGGUACCAUGUGUAUAUCCCUACAUCACCACAAAUUGUUGUCCUGGAUACAUCAUACUUCAUGCAAUUUCUUUAUUGAA
rnacentral:lncRNA from 1 species